rnacentral:rRNA from 1 species
UACGGGGGGGGCAAGCGUUGUUCGGAAUUACUGGGCGUAAAGGGCUCGUAGGCGGCCAACUAAGUCGGAUGUGAAAUCCCCAGGCUCAACUUGGGAACUGCAUCCGAUACUGGAUGGCUUGAAUUCGGGAGAGGGAUGCAGAAUUCCAGGUGUAGCGGUGAAAUGCGUAGAUAUCUGGAGGAAUACCGGCGGCGAAGGCGGCAUCCUGGACCGACAUUGACGCUGAGGAGCGAAAGCUAGGGGAGCAAACGGG